GGGCCCGUGGCUCAGCCUGGGAGAGCGCCGGCCUUAUAUGGCGGCCUCUCCUAAGAAAGCCGGAGGUCCCGGGUUCGAAUCCCGGCGGGCCCA
rnacentral:tRNA from 1 species